rnacentral:antisense_RNA from 1 species
CUUCAGCGACCCCAGCCAGAGCGGGUGCUCCGGGGCCCGGCCCUGACCGUACGUGGCCAGCAGUGCCUCGGCCUC